GGGGCCGUUUUUGGAUUCGACGGGGGUAGUUCGAGCAUGGGUAGCGGGUAGUGGGGAGCGUCCGCUUUAUCAACGCUAAAGCCUAUUAAACGGCAAACAACAACCUUCUCUGGCUCUGGCCGCCUAAUAACGGUCACCAGGCUCUUACUCUCUAUCGCCCAUGUAGCGGGAUAAGGGCUCAACUUUAGUGGGAUACGCCGUCUAGUCUCCGCCUGGGGCUAACGGAAGAAGACAAUCAGGCUGACCCAACGGGGACCCGGUUACGGGGGGACCCUCGGGUGACAUCAAAACCGUGACUACACCCGUAGAAGCCUGUGUGGCGUUGCCUUCGGACAGGGGUUCGACUCCCCUCGGCUCCAUUU
rnacentral:tmRNA from 1 species